GCCCGGUUAGCUCAAUCGGUAGAGCGUGAGACUCUUAAUCUCAAGGUUGCGGGUAAGUUCACAAUCUGUCA